GAUGAACGCUGGCGGCGUGCCUAAUACAUGCAAGUCGAGCGAACGGACGAGAAGCUUGCUUCUCUGAUGUUAGCGGCGGACGGGUGAGUAACACGUGGAUAACCUACCUAUAAGACUGGGAUAACUUCGGGAAACCGGAGCUAAUACCGGAUAAUAUUUUGAACCGCACGGUUCAAAAGUGAAAGACGGUCUUGCUGUCACUUAUAGAUGGAUCCGCGCUGCAUUAGCUAGUUGGUAAGGUAACGGCUUACCAAGGCAACGAUGCAUAGCCGACCUGAGAGGGUGAUCAGCCACACUGGAACUGAGACACGGUCCAGACUCCUACGGGAGGCAGCAGUAGGGAAUCUUCCGCAAUGGGCGAAAGCCUGACGGAGCAACGCCGCGUGAGUGAUGAAGGUCUUCGGAUCGUAAAACUCUGUUAUUAGGGAAGAACAUAUGUGUAAGUAACUGUGCACAUCUUGACGGUACCUAAUCAGAAAGCCACGGCUAACUACGUG
rnacentral:rRNA from 1 species